UUCAUUUAUGUUUUAGUUAUUAGCUUUAAUUCUCACAUGUGUAUCAGGUGGUUAGUUUUGUUAAGUUUGAUAUAACAGACUCCACCUUUCUUGCUAAGCUCUCUCUCUCUCUCUCUCUCUCUGUAAUUAUAUAAACAGAGUUAGACUUAAUGAUGUAUUAGCUAGCCAUUUUAUGCAAUACAAAACUCUCUCUAUUUAGCUUUUCUUUCAUGGUAUCAGAGCUCUGCUUCCAUGGCGUCCGCGAAUGCAAAUCCUUCUUCAACCUCAUCAUCUACUUCAACCACUCCACCUACAAUGGCUAACUCUAUCACUUAUAUCAAUCCCUCACUUCUUUUACUCUUAAAUAUGUCAUCUAUGAUGACUGUUAAACUUGAGUACUCCAACUACAUAGUCUAGAAGCAUCAGAUUGAGGUAAUCUUAAAGACUUACUCUAUGAUUGAUGCAAUAAAUGAUACUGUUAUGGCACCAGAUCAGUUCUUGAAGGAUUAUUAUAGUAAUCUCACUACAAAAGUCAAUCCAGAUUUUCUCAUUUGGAGAAAUCGCAAGCAAGCUUUGUUUACUUUUCUCAAUUCCAUACUCUCCCCUUCUGUUCUUGCUUUUACUGUUGGACAGAAAUCUGGUCGAGGUGUUUGGAAAGUUUUAGAGAAACGGUUUGCCUCAAUUUCUAGGUCAAGUGUGAUGAGCUUGAGGAAUGAAUUGAAUGCAAUGAAGAAAGGCACAAACUGAAUUGAUGUAUACUUUCAGAAGAUCAAACAAAUCCGUGAUAAAUUGGCUGCAGUAUCAGUCAUUCUUGAUGAUGAAGAUAUCCUUCAUGUUGCAAUUGAUGGUCUGCCAUCAGAAUAUGACUCAUUCAGUUCAGCUAUGAGGACUUGCAGUGAUAUUCUUAUAGUUGAAGAGCUUAAUACUCUUCUCAAUGCUAAGGAGAGAGCUAUUAAGAAGAGAUCUGGUGUGUUUGAUGCAACAACUAUGGCUAUGGUUGCUAAUCACCAACCUCAAGCUUUUGGUUGAGGUAGAGGUAGAAAUAAUAAUCAGAGAAGUCAUGGUAAUAGAGGAAGAGGUAGUAGUUCUGGUCUUGGUGGUGGCUAUAGUACUAAUGGUAAUUUCAACAAUAGUACUUUCUCUUCUCCAUACAAUCAAUCUCAGCCUAGUUCAUCACGAUCUCCAAGGUCUCAAGGUCAAUCUCAGAGACCACAGUGUCAAAUCUAUGGAAAGAAUGGUCAUGUGGCUCUUGAUUGUUAUCACAGAAUGGACUUUGCCUUUUAAGGCAAGCAUGCUCCAUCCAAACUUGCUGCUAUGGUGGCUAGUUCAUCUCAAGUUCACAUGGCUAAUGGAUGGCUCACAGAUACAGGCUGUUCAGAUCAUGUAUUCAUGUUACACCUGAUUUGGCCAACCUCUCCCUGCAGCAACAACCUACAUUAGGUUUUGAAACUGUGACUGUUGGUAAUGGUCAAGAACUCCCCAUCACUUAUAUUGGUAAUGGAUUUACCUACAAGGAAGAUCCUUUACGAAGGAUUGAGUAAAGAUGGUGUCUACCCUAUUCUUGCAUCAUCUUAUUUGCACUUAUCCAAUUCCACUGCCUUUUCUACAUCACAAGUUCAUCAGUCUUCACAAGCAUCUGCUAGUUCUGCUCAAAUUUCUCCCUGGCAUAACAGACACAUCCAAGUGCUAAACUCCUUCAUUCUGCUAUUCAACCUGUUAAUCCUGAUUUUACAUUCAAUAAGAUUGAUGUAUGUUGUUCUUCUUGUACAUCUUGUAUAAGUGCUAAGAUGCACAGACUUCCUUUGAAUAAACAUGAAAUUCAAUCUAUUUCUAUGCUUCAAA